UACGUAGGUGGCGAGCGUUGUCCGGAAUUACUGGGUGUAAAGCCGCGUGUAGGCGGGAGGCCAAGUCUGCGGUGAAAUCGCUCGGCUCAACUGGGCGGGGUCCGUGGAAACUGGUCACCUGGAGGACGGUAGAGGCGAGUGGAAUUCCCGGUGUAGUGGUGAAAUGCGUAGAGAUCGGGAGGAACACCAGUGGCGAAGGCGGCUCGCUGGCCGGACCUGACGCUGAGACGCGAAGGCGUGGGGAGCGAACG
rnacentral:rRNA from 1 species